ACUCAAAGGAAUAGACGGGGGCCCGCACAAGCGGUGGAGCAUGUGGUUCAAUUCGACGCAACGCGAAGAACCUUACCUGGGCUCGAACGGCUUCUCAACGGCGGUGGAAACACUGUUACCCCGCAAGGGGGUGGAGUCGAGGUGCUGCAUGGCUGUCGUCAGCUCGUGUCGUGAGAUGUUGGGUUAAGUCCCGCAACGAGCGCAACCCUUGUCCUGUGUUGCCAAACCGAAAGGGGGAACUCGCAGGAGACCGCCAGCGAUAAGCUGGAGGAAGGUGGGGAUGACGUCAAGUCCUCAUGGCCUUUAUGUCCAGGGCUACACACGUGCUACAAUGGACGGUACAAUACGUCGCUAACCCGCGAGGGGGAGCCAAUCGCCAAAAACCGUUCUCAGUUCGGAUUGCAGGCUGCAACUCGCCUGCAUGAAGCUGGAAUCGCUAGUAAUGGCAGAUCAGCACGCUGCCGUGAAUACGUUCCCGGGCCUUGCACACACCGCCCGU
rnacentral:rRNA from 1 species